rnacentral:rRNA from 1 species
UACGGAGGGGGCGAGCGUUAUUCGGAAUUAUUGGGCGUAAAGGGCGCGUAGGCGGCUAGGUAAGUCAAAGGUGAAAUCCCUCGGCUCAACUGAGGAACUGCCUUUGAAACUGCCUAGCUUGAGGCCGGGAGGGGGUGGCGGAAUUCCCAGUGUAGCGGUGAAAUGCGCAGAUAUCAGGAGGAACACCGGUGGCGAAGGCGGGUCUCUGGGCCGAAACUGACGCUGAGGAGCGAAAGCGUGGGGAGCAAACAGG